CUUAUACCCCUCCGUCCCAAAAUUCUUGUCUUAGAUUUGUCUAGAUAUGAAUGUAUCUAGUCACGUUUUAGUAUACAUCCAUUUCUAAACAAGCCUAAGAUAAUAAUUUUAGGACGGAGGGGGUAUUUA
rnacentral:pre_miRNA from 1 species